rnacentral:lncRNA from 1 species
UUUGUACGUAGGAGCCUCUUCCUUCUCAACCAUUUGAAUUUCGGAUUGAGAAUGUUGAACUACGUUUGACGAAGAUUCGCCCAACUCGAUAUUAUAAGCAGCAUUUGUGAUAAGCUCCUCCCCAGCCAUUUGAAUUUCGGAUUGAGAAUGUUCAAUGUCUGAUCGAUAUUCGCCCAACUCGAUAUCAGUAUUAUUUGCGAUAAGCUCCUUCUCUAUGAAAGCAACCACAUCGUUCGAUACUAGCUUCUCCUCCUUAAUCUCUUCGCUUAUUUUCGGCGCAACAAGGUUUGUAGGAGCCUCUUCCUCCUCAGCCAUUUGAAUUUCGGAUUGAGAAUGUUCAAUGUCUGAUCGAUAUCAACAUCAUUUUUGAGAAUUUCCAUUAAUUUUUUGUUCCAUUCUAGUAGCUUCUCCUCCUUACCCUCCCCGCUUAUCAUUUUCGGCGCAACAAGGUUUGUAGGAGCCUCUUCCUCUUCAGCCAUUUGAAUUUGGGACUGAGAAUAUUCGCCCAACUCGAUAUCAUGUAUUUGGAUUUUAGAUGCCAU